UACGUAGGGUGCAAGCGUUGUCCGGCAUUAUUGGGCGUAAAGCGCUCGUAGGCUGUCUGUCGCGUCGGAUGUGAAAUCCCAGGGCUCAACCCUGGGCCUGCAUUCGAUACGGGCAGACUAGAGUUCGGUAGGGGAGACUGGAAUUCCUGGUGUAGCGGUGAAAUGCGCAGAUAUCAGGAGGAACACCGGUGGCGAAGGCGGGUCUCUGGGCCGAAACUGACGCUGAGGAGCGAAAGCGUGGGGAGCAAACAGG
rnacentral:rRNA from 1 species